AUGCAGGGAGCCCCCGCAGGGAGCCUCGCCGCUGCUGCCAUCACAUGGACAUGUUUGCACCGUGUUUCCUCCGACCCGGACAUGUCACGCCGCCACCUCCUCGAGUUCGCCGGCCGCUGUCGCUCGUCCUCCCCUGCAACCCCUGCCUCGCCAUGCAUGAGGACAAUGAUGACAGCGUGCCGCCAUCGACCGUCCCAGGCCAUCCUUCUCGCCUCGCUCGCGUGGGCGCACCGUCCUUCUCGCCUCGCUCGCGUGGGCCGCAUUGCGCGCGGGCAAGCCGGCCCUUGCCAAUGGAAGUGUCGGUGCGGCGGGGCCACUCGGGCUAGAGAUUAUUUAUUCCUUUGCUCCCUCACUUGCGGGGUUAAUUCCUUUGUUCGGAGAGGCGAUGUUGAGGAGGAGGCCGGGGUUGCGGAGGACAGCGGCGCAGCCUGGCUGGGGCCUCGGGGUGGCGCACGGAGAUGCGCGACGGGCGCUGGUGGUGGUCGCCGGUGA
rnacentral:rRNA from 1 species